CCAUGGGUACAUGAAGGACUCAAAGUAGAAAAGGAAAACGGAAGUGCAAAGAUAAGGUUAGAGUACUGUGGUGGCGUGCCGGGGUAAACAUCGAGCGAUCGGUCAAUGAAAAUAAUCAGAGACACCUCUGAUCAAAUAGCAAUGUAAUAUCCCGCUAUCGUAAGGUUUCCUGAGUCAAAGGUGGUUGGAUCCUAAGAUGAGGUGUUCCUCCCUAUCCAUUGCUUGGUAGGUUUACCAUGACAUUAAAUGUUAGCAACCGUGUCCAGAGUCACUCCGCUAACGGUCAAGUUCUAAUUAAGUAUAUAUGAAUACUUGUUGUGAAAUGAUGAGGUUCAUUUGUCAAACUAUAUAUGUGUAUUAUGGUUAAUGAUGCCAUUUUGAAUGCA